GACGAACGCUGGCGGCGUGCCUAAUACAUGCAAGUAGAACGCUGAAGAGAGGAGCUUACUCUUCUUGGAUGAGUUGCGAACGGGUGAGUAACGCGUAGGUAACCUGCCUUGUAGCGGGGGAUAACUAUUGGAAACGAUAGCUAAUACCGCAUAACAAUGGAUGACACAUGUCAUUUAUUUGAAAGGGGCAAUUGCUCCACUACAAGAUGGACCUGCGUUGUAUUAGCUAGUAGGUGAGGUAAUGGCUCACCUAGGCGACGAUACAUAGCCGACCUGAGAGGGUGAUAGGCCACACUGGGACUGAGACACGGCCCAGACUCCUACGGGAGGCAGCAGUAGGGAAUCUUCGGCAAUGGGGGCAACCCUGACCGAGCAACGCCGCGUGAGUGAAGAAGGUUUUCGGAUCGUAAAGCUCUGUUGUAAGUCAAGAACGGGUGUGAGAGUGGAAAGUUCACACUGUGACGGUAGCUGACCAGAAAGGGACGGCUAACUACGUG
rnacentral:rRNA from 1 species